GCCAAUGUGGCAUAGUGGCUUGAGUGUUGGACUAUGACUUUGGAGAUCAGAGUUUGAAUCCCUGCUUAGCCA